rnacentral:rRNA from 1 species
UACAGGGGGUGCAAACGUUGCUCGGAAUCAUUGGGCGUAAAGCGCACGUAGGCGGUCUGUUAUGUCGGAUGUGAAAUCCCCAGGCUCAACUUGGGAACUGCAUCCGAUACUGGAUGGCUUGAAUUCGGGAGAGGGAUGCAGAAUUCCAGGUGUAGCGGUGAAAUGCGUAGAUAUCUGGAGGAAUACCGGUGGCGAAGGCGGCAUCCUGGACCGACAUUGACGCUGAGGAGCGAAAGCUAGGGGAGCAAACGGG